rnacentral:tRNA from 7 species
GCCUCUGUAGCUCAGUGGAUUAGAGCGUUUGGUUGCGGACCAAAAGGUCGCGUGUUCGAGUCGCGCCAGAGGCGCCA